CCUACGGGCGGCAGCAGUGAGGAAUAUUGGUCAAUGGGCGCGAGCCUGAACCAGCCAAGUAGCGUGAAGGAUGAAUGCCCUACGGUUUGUAAACUUCUUUUAUAAAGGAAUAAAGUGAGGCACGUGUGCCUUUUUGUAUGUACUUUAUGAAUAAAGAUCGGCUAACUCCGUGCCAGCAGCCGCGGUAAUACGGAGGAUCCGAGCGUUAUCCGGAUUUAUUGGGUUUAAAGGGAGCGUAGAUGGGUUGUUAAGUCAGUUGUGAAAGCUUGCGGCUCAACCGUAAAAUUGCAAUUGAUACUGGCAGUCUUGAGUACAGUUGAGGUAGGCGGAAUUCGUGGUGUAGCGGUGAAAUGCUGAGAUAUCACGAAGAACUCCGAUGGCGAAGGCAGCUUACUAAACUGUCACUGACAUUGAUGCUCGAAAGUGUGGGUAUCAAACAGGAUUAGAUACCCCGGUAGUC
rnacentral:rRNA from 1 species